rnacentral:misc_RNA from 1 species
GGAGGGAUCAUUAAACAAAACACCCAAAGUCUGCAGUGCGCCCCCAAAAAGGGGUGUGCUGCAGCAGACAGACACUGGUAUGACUAAAUGUGACUAUAGAAUUUUCUAAACCAUUAAAUCAGUGACACCAACCAUAUGUGUUAGGUGGAGUCAUGAGGUGAACACCAUGAAGUGUGAUGUGAGCUACAGAGUCGUUGUCCAUGCAAGGAUUAGUAACUGUGAUGUACUUUGCAGUGAAAAACCCUUUGUGUGGCCAGCUCUCUUCACAACAUACAGACUGGUAAGUACCCAAAUGGCACUACUUGACAUACUUGUGAGGUGUUGCACCCUGUGACACAGAUCAAUGUGUUGGUGCAGGUCGUGAGGUGAACACUACAAUGUGUGAUGUGAGCUACAGAGUAGUUGUCUAUAUACAGGGACUAGUAACUGUGAUGUACUUCGCAGUGAAAAACCCUUUGUGUGGCCAGCUCUCUUCGCAACAUACAGGCUAGUAAGUAACAGAAUGACCAUACUGACACCACUUGUGAAGUGUUGUAAAAAAACAAUAAAUUAUACAACUCUCAGCGAUGGAUCCCUAGGCUCCUCUAUCGAUGAAGAGCACAGCGAAAUGUGAUAAGUAAUACGAAUUGCAGAAUACAGUGAGUCAUCGAAAUCUUGAACGCAUUGCACCGUCGGGGUAACCUGGCGGUAUGCCCCAUUGAGUGUCAUUUUUCAAUAAGCAAAGCAUUCACAAAAAUAAUUGUGGAAGCGCAUCGACCCGCACCACAAGGUGGUAGGUUGGUGGACUUGGAUUUCAGCGAACCAUUUGGUUGGUGAGUUGACUUCUUAAAUUAUAAAAGGACCACACUAUAACAGUUGGUGAAGUGGAGCAUUGACUCCACAACAGGCUUCGUCUAGAUGAGCAUUUAUUGCAUCAACCUGACUUAGCAAUCUGUCUGACUCGAGUAUGUGAGGUUCUCUCUAUUGAGAAAAAUAAACACUUCCUCAGUUUGUAGUAGUGCCUUGAAAAAAAAGGGUACACAAAACAACACUAUGACCUCAAUUGGGACAUGACUACUUGCUGAACUUAAGCAUAUCAAUAAGCAAAGGAAAAGAAAUUAACAAAGAUUCCCUCAGUAACUGCGAGUGAAGCGGGAAUAGCUCAAUCUCUAAUCUGCCGUGGACAUCUGCGGCCGAAUUGUAGUUUUGUGAUCAGCUUCAAGUCCUGACACGGGAUCUAAGUCUCCUGGAACGGAGCACCAAAGAAGGUGAUAGUCCUGUGAGAUCCUGUGGAUGGGGCAUAUGUUGCUGUAUCAACGAGUCGAGUUGUUUUGUAGUACAGCUCAAAAUGGGUGGUAUGUUCCAUCUAAAGCUAAAUAUCAGAGAGGAGACCGAUAGCAAACAAGUACCGUGAGGGAAAGGUGAAAAGAACCUUGAAAAGAGGGUGAAAAGUGCGUGAAAUUGCUGAGAGGGAAGCAGACACACUCAUUAUUGCUGUGUCCAAAUCAAUUGUCACUGGGCAGCGUGGUGGUGUAAGGAUGGACAUUAUUGUUCACCAAGCAUUAUCAUUAAGUUCUGUGGCAGUGCACUUUGGAUGUGGCAACCACCGGCCCUGCGACUUGGAGGAUAAAGCCUUGUGCUUGGAAGCAGCAUUUGCUGUGAAGGCAUGGGGUGGGACUUUAGGUUUCAUGGACGAACUGAGCGGCAUUAUCUGGCCUGGUUGGGGCAGUGUAGGUGCUAGUGCUAAGACAAGGCAACUUGUCCGGUGCUGGUGUUGAAUCUCGCUUCAGCUGGUGCAGAUGUCGCGCAUGGUGGGAUAUUUGGGUGCGUCCGUCCCGUCUUGAAACACGGACCAAGGAGUUUAACUUGUAUGCAAGUGCGAGAGUUUAAAACUUUUGCGCGAAGUGAAAGCAAUUGUGGGAAAGGAGCUGAGAGUAGGCCCUUGCACCACAGACCGAUCUAGAGACAUGUCAAAGGAUUCGAGUUGGAGCAUAUAAGUUAAGACCCGAAAGAUUACGAACUAUACUUGUGUAGAACGAAGCCAGAAGAAAUCCUGGUGGAAGUUCGAAACGGUUCUGACGUGCAAAUCGAUCGUCAAACAUGAGCAUAGCGGCGAAAGACUAAUCGAGUAAUCUAGUAGCUGGUUCCUUC